GGUAAUUCUAGAGCUAAUACAUACAUCCCAGCACCAACCUUCGGGGAGGUGUGUUUUUAUUAGCCCAAAACGAAUCGUUGCCUUCGGGUGACGAACUCUUGGUGACUCAGAGUAACUUGGUUCGGMUMGCAUGGCUCUGCGCCAGCGACGCAUCUUUCAAAUGUCUGCCUUAUCAACUUGUUGGMUMGGUUAAAUGCCAACCAAGGUGGUAACGGGUAACGGAGAAUCAGGGUUCGMMACCGGAGAGGGAGCCUGAGAAACGGCUACCACAUCCAAGGAAGGCAGCAGGCACGCAAAUUACCCACUCCCGGCUCGGGGAGGUAGUGACGAAAAAUAAUAAUACCGGACUCUUCCGAGGCUCGGUAAUUGGAAUGGGUACACUUCA
rnacentral:rRNA from 1 species